rnacentral:misc_RNA from 1 species
UCUCCGUUGGUGAAUCAGCGGAGGGAUCAUUACUGGGCUCGCAAGACUCCUACAACCCUCGUGAACCUUACUAUACCACGUUGCUUCGGCGGGCGUCCGCGCCCGCCGGCAGCACACAAACUCUUGUCUCUUGCGUUGGCAUCUCGAGAAAAACACAAAUAAGUUAAAACUUUCAACAACGGAUCUCUUGGUUCUG